CCAAUAGCGUAUAUUAAAGUUGUUGCAGUUAAAAAGCUCGUAGUUGAAUUUCGGGAUUAGUACGUCGGUCGUGCCUUCGGUACGUACUGGUGUUACUGGUUCCUACCUUCUGACGAACCAUCAUGUCAUUAAUUUGGUGUGGCGGGGAAUCAGGACUGUUACUUUGAAAAAAUUAGAGUGUUUAAAGCAGGCUCGCGCUUGAAUACAUUAGCAUGGAAUAAUGAAAUAGGACGUUGACCCUAUUUUGUUGGUUUCUAGGAUUGACGUAAUGAUUAAUAGGGAUAGUUGGGGGCAUUAGUAUUCAAUUGUCAGAGGUGAAAUUCUUGGAUUUAUUGAAGACUAACUACUGCGAAAGCAUUUGCCAAGGAUGUUUUCAUUAAUCAAGAACGAAAGUUAGGGGAUCGAAGACGAUCAGAUACCGUCGUAGUCUUAACCAUAAACUAUGCCGACUAGGGAUCGGAUGAUGUUAUUUUUAAUGACUCAUUCGGCGCCUUACG
rnacentral:rRNA from 1 species